GCCUAUUAGCUAGCCCCACAAACCAAACCCAACAAACAAACAUAAACUAACCCCAAAAACACUUAAUUAACUCAAACAAAACAUUUUCCCUCCCUAGUAUGGGCGACAGAAAAGGACCUCAGGGCGCAAUAGAAAAAGUACCGCAAGGGAAAGCUGAAAGAGAAAUGAAAUAAACCAGUAAAGCCAAGAAAAGCAGAGAUUUCCUCUCGUA
rnacentral:rRNA from 1 species